rnacentral:rRNA from 1 species
UACGGAGGGUGCAAGCGUUAUCCGGAAUCAUGGGGUUUAAAGAGUCCGCAGGCGGAUUUAUAAUUCAGUGGUGAAAGCCUACAGCUUAACUGUAGAACUGCCAUUGAUACUGUAAGUCUUGAAUUCGGUCGAAGUGGGCGGAAUGUGUAGUGUAGCGGUGAAAUGCAUAGAAAUUACACAGAACACCGAUAGCGAAGGCAGCUCACUAGGCAUGGAUUGACGCUCAGGGACGAAAGCGUGGGGAUCAAACAGGAUUAGAAACCCGAGUAGUCC